rnacentral:rRNA from 1 species
GACAGGGGUGCCAAGCGUUAGGCGGAAUCACUGGGCUUAAAGCGUGUGUAGGCGGAAUUGUAAGUACCUUGUGAAAUCCCACGGCUCAACCGUGGAACUGCUUGGUAUACUGCUUUUCUUGAGCCACUUAGGGGCUACCGGAACAAAUGGUGGAGCGGUGAAAUGCGUAGAUAUCAUUUGGAACGCCAAUGGUGAAAACAGGUAGCUGGGAGUGUGCUGACGCUGAGACACGAAAGCCAGGGGAGCGAACGGG